rnacentral:rRNA from 1 species
GCUACGGGUGGCAGCAGUGGGGAAUAUUGCACAAUGGGGGAAACCCUGAUGCCGCGACGCCGCGUGAGUGAAGAAGUAAUUCGUUACGUAACGCUCUAUCAGCAGGGAAGAAACACUGACCUUACGGUCAGCAGACGGUACCUGAGUAAGAAGCCCCGGCUAACUACGUGCCAGCAGCCGCGGUAAUACGGAGGGGGCAAGCGUUAUCCGGAUUUACUGGGUGUAAAGGGAGCGUAGACGGUGCGGCAAGUCUGGAGUGAAAGGCCGCAGCUUAAAGGCGGAACUGCUUUGGAAACUGGCGAACUAGAGUGCGGGAGGGGCAAGCGGAAGUCCGAGUGGAGCGGUGAAAUGCGUAGAUAGUAGGAGGAACACCGGUGGCGAAGGCGGAUUACUGGACCGUAACUGACGUUGAGGCUCGAAAGCGUGGGGAGCAAACAGGAUUAGAUACCCGAGUAGUC